rnacentral:misc_RNA from 1 species
GAUGAAGAACGCAGCGAAAUGCGAUACGUAAUGUGAAUUGCAGAAUUCAGUGAAUCAUCGAAUCUUUGAACGCAUAUUGCGCUCUCUGGUAUUCCGGAGAGCAUGCUUGUUUGAGUAUCAGUAAACACCUCAACUCCCUUUUCUUUUUUGAAAUGGGAGCUGGACUUGAGUGAUCCCAACACUUUUCUCACUGGAAAGUGGCGGGUCACUUGAAAUGCAGGUGCAGCUGGACUUUUCUCUGAGCUAUAAGCAUAUCUAUUUAGUCUGCCUAAAAAACAGAUUAUUACCUUUUCUGCAGCUAACAUAAAGGAGAUGAGUUCUUGUGCUGACUGAUGCAGGAUUCACAGAGACAGCUUUGCGGCUGACUUUGUAAACCCGAUCUCAAAUCAAGUAAGACUACCCGCUGAACUUAAGCAUAUCAAUAAGCGGAGGA